AUUGAACGCUGGCGGCAGGCCUAACACAUGCAAGUCGAACGAGUGGCGGACGGGUGAGUAAUGUCUGGGAAACUGCCCGAUGGAGGGGGAUAACUACUGGAAACGGUAGCUAAUACCGCAUACCAUCGGAUUUGCCCAGAUGGGAUUAGCGAGUAGGUGGGGUAACGGCUCACCUAGGCGACUAUCCCUAGCUGGUCUGAGAGGAUGACCAGCCACACUGGAACUGAGACACGGUCCAGACGCCUAAGGCAGGCAGCCGUGGGCAAUAUUGCACAAUGGGCGCAAGCCUGAUGUAGCCAUGCCGGGUGUAUGAAGAGGGCCUUCGGGUUGUAAGGUACUUUAAGCGAGGAGGCGUUCCUCGCAGAAGAAGCACCGGCUAACUCCGUGCCAGCAGCCGCGGUAAUUC
rnacentral:rRNA from 1 species